UCGGCGCUCCGCUCCGCUUACCGCAGGCCUUGACGACAUGAGCAGCAAAGAAGGAUCAGGAGGGUUCAGGAAAAGGAAGCAUGGCAAUUUUCCACAUAACCAAAGAAGAGAAGGGAAGGAUGUUAAUUCAUCUUCACCCGUGAUGCUGGCCUUCAAAUUGCUCCUGAUAUGGAAGAAAUACUGAAUGAAUCAGAAAUUAAAUUGGAUGGUGUCCGACAGAAGAUAUUACAGGUAGCACAGGAGGUAUCAGGAGAAGACAUGCACCAAUUUCAUCGAGCCAUCACCACAGGACUGCAGGAAUAUGUGGAAGCUGUUUCUUUUCAACACUUUAUCAAAAUAGGAUCAUUAAUCAGUAUGGAUGAAAUUAAUAAACAAUUGAUAUUUACAACUGAAGACAAUGGGAAAGAAAAUAAGACGCCCUCCUCUGAUGCACAAGAUAAGCAGUUGGGCACUUGGAGGCUGAAAAUCACACCUGUCGAUCACCUUCUGGGAGUGGCUGAUUUAACUGGAGAAUUGAUGCGGAUGUGUAUUAACAGUGUGGGGAAUGGGGACAUUGAUACCCCCUUCGAAGUGAGCCAAUUUUUACGUCAGGUUUAUGAUGGAUUUUCAUUCAUUGGCAACACCGGACCAUAUGAGGUUUCUAAGAAGCUGUAUACCUUGAAACAAAGUCUGGCCAAAGUGGAGAAUGCUUGUUAUGCUUUGAAAGUCAGAGGUUCAGAAAUUCCAAAACAUAUGCUGGCAGAUGUGUUUUCAGUUAAAACAGAUAUGAUUGAUCAAGAAGAGGGCAUUUCUUCGAAUAAUGUUUCCCAGUUACUAUUCUUCUGAGAACUCCUAAGAGAGACCAAUUUGUAAGACUGUUAUUUCGUAUUUCAUUUGACUUUAUUGUGGCUUUUACAUAGAAUCGUUCUCAGUUUUACUUGUUUUAAAGUGUAUAUAAGCUGUACAUAAAAUUAUCCAAAUGAAUCAUUUGUUAUAUCUUAUUCAUGGAAAUUUGCAUGCAAAUGUUUGCCUAUAUACCUAUUUGAAUUUUUGCUGGUUAACCCUCAUCAUUUAUCUUUGUAAUGUGAACAUAAUACAUACUUCAGAGUGCACUUUCUGCCAUAUCUGUUUUAAUUUACUUUUUGUGAAUUUUUGAGUG